rnacentral:rRNA from 1 species
UACGUAGGUGGCAAGCGUUGUCCGGAUUUAUUGGGCGUAAAGCGAGCGCAGGCGGUUCUUUAAGUCUGAUGUAAAAGGCAGUGGCUCAACCAUUGUGUGCAUUGGAAACUGUUAGACUUGAGUGCAGUAGAGGAGAGUGGAAUUCCACGUGUAGCGGUGAAAUGCGUAGAUAUGUGGAGGAACACCGGUGGCGAAAGCGGCUCUCUGGCCUGUUACUGACGCUGAGGCGCGAAAGCGUGGGGAGCGAACGGG